GGUGGUUUGUGGAGUGAAAGAAAAUAAGCGUCAAAAACUUGUACUGGGCACCAUUUAUUAUGAGUAGGAUACUAUGGUGCUGGUUUUUGAUUGUUUUAAAAAUAGUAAGUAAUGGUCAUUAUGCUUUUACAAGUCCAUAGUUCUUAGGUAGUCGGAGGUUGUAAUGGUCCCAGUCGUGAAUUUGUUGGGACGGAGGAACCCAUAAAAAGCUAAAUAUAUAGCUGUCUUUAUUACAGUAUUAGUAAUGGGUUCGAAAGGAGAAGAAUCUAAUAAAUUGAUUAGUGAAUGGAAUAUGUUGUUGUCUAUGGGUAGUCUUUGUGAGGGGACGUGUGCAUCCAAUUUUUUAAUGCCUUUAAGUAGUGUCUUAAUUUGAUAUGAGGUCAGGAAACCUGUAGCGUUGGGUUGUUGGAUAAGCAUGUGGUGCUGAAUGCCCGUAAGGUACAGUUUUAUAGUGUUGAAUGAUAAUUUAAGGUUGAUGUGGCAAAAAGAAGUGAAACCCAAUAUUGAUUCUAAUGUGAACAUGUCGUGGAUGUAGAAUUCAGUGAUGAAUUUCUUGAAUACGUGAAAAGCCCUGUCGUAUGUGUUCCUGGUGUUUACUGAAAGUGCGAGGUGAGAAAUGUGAUGUGCGUGAUCUAACAAAGCCUCUAAUCCAUUAUCAU